rnacentral:lncRNA from 1 species
AUGAGAAAAUUCAAAAAGGAGUUGUGCAGGAAAAAGAGUAGCAUUUGUGGGCUUUACAGCCUUAAGUAAUAUACAAGCUCAAAUGGAGUGGGCUUUGUGAUACGGAAACAGUGUAAUUAAUCACACACUAGGGCCAUAUGAAAUGUCAAGUAUAUUGUUUGGUUACGGGAUGAGAUCAAUUUUUAUCAAAUUGAUGAUGGUUGUCACUGCUAACUUAACGUUAUAAAUAAUGAGUUUUUU